AACCUAACCUUCUGAAACGUAACGUUUUCAUUAUCUAACAUAAUGUAAUCCACACUAAAAGAAACUAACCUAACCUAGCAACGAUAAACUAAGGUAACCUAACCUUCUGAAACGUAACGUUUCAUUAUCUAAACAUAAUGUAAUCCACACUAAAAGAAACUAACCUAACCUAGCAACGAUAAACUAAGGUAACCUAACCUUCUGAAACGUAACGUUUCAUUAUUCUAACAUAAUGUAAUCCACACUAAAAGAAACUAACCUAACCUAGCAAACGAUAAACUAAGGUAACGUAACCUAUUGAAACGUAACCAAACGCUAAACCUAACCUAUUGCCAAUGGAUCUACACUAUUAACUGCCUAUGGCAAAUCUUGCCAUCUCAUCAUUUUAUAAUAAAAAGGCUCAUGUUUACUAGUAGAUUGUCUAUUUGCAGGCCACAGCCCCAUACCCUGGGCUCUGACAGGGGAGUUUUUUCCGUCCAGUGUCAAAGCCAAAGGAGCCACUCUGUCUACCGUUCAUAUUCUGUGGCGAAUCUUUCAUCCUCAUAAACUUGUUCCCUCAGAUCACAGCCUUUCUUCGGACUGCCUAAUACUUGUUGGAUUGCGAGCAUAAACCUCUUCUUGGGUUCUAUUUUUGUGGCCUUAUGUGUGCCAGAAACGAGCGGACUAUCAUUUCUGCAAAUACAGGAGCUGUUGAAUAAAUAAUGAUAACAAUAAAGAUAUAGACUUUUAA